CAAUUGAUGAUGGUGAGCUCAAAAUCUGGAGCUGGUCUUCGAGGCUUGAGGACAGUGCUUUCAAAGGUUGCUCGUUUCGCCACACUACAAUCCAUAGUCAGGACGUGCAGUUUGCAUAUCUGCAUACUGAUGUGAACAACCUGUCCAUUUCAGCCAGAAGGAUGAGGCUUUUAGAAUUGAAAAUUCGCAGCAGAAACUGCUUCUUUAUAUCACAGCUCGUAUGAAGAACCUUGAUCACUCACAGUUCCCGUAGUUUGAUACACCAUGAAAAGAAAACGUUUUGUGGAUCCAAAGGGUCUUCUCAAACUCCCUGGCUUGCUAGUUGAGGAAGAAGUCCCAAAACAAUCAAGGAUAUACGACAAAGAGAAACUGAACUGUAUGGUAGUUGAGGGACCUAUGGUGUUGCUCUAAAAUGGUGCCUGUGCUCAUAUUCAACUCAUUGGACUGGCUCGUUUUUGAGAAUUACAAUCAGGCGGCAGCUAGUGCUGCAAUUAAAUUAUGCAUCUGAUGAUACUGAUGUGAACAUUAAAAUUGUUAUGGUGCCACUAUGCGAUUGUGGUAGAAUCCUAUGUGGACCACUAGCUGCCUAUAUAGUUUAUAAGUCGGGCACGAUUACAGGGUGAAUUAGUGGAGAUAGCUGGUAAAGUUUUUCUCAGAUUCUAGAAUGAGAAGCACAUGCUGGAGUGGAUGGGUGAGUGAAAUGUCAUAGGGGUAGCGAGUUCUGGAUGUAACAUGAGCAAGAUUCUCUUGAUGAACUCGUCAAAGGGUGACAAAAGAUGGCCACCAAACCAAAAUGAUUACAUUUUACUCUCUUAAUUUGGAUGAACAAUCCAAUGCAAAAUCUGGUGGCAGAGACAGAUUCAAACU